rnacentral:rRNA from 1 species
GGUUAAGCGACUAAGCGUACACGGUGGAUGCCCUGGCAGUCAGAGGCGAUGAAGGACGUGCUAAUCUGCGAAAAGCGUCGGUAAGGUGAUAUGAACCGUUAUAGCCGGCGAUGUCCGAAUGGGGAAACCCAGUGCAAUUCGUUGCACUAUCGUUAACUGAAUACAUAGGUUAACGAGGCGAACCGGGGGAACUGAAACAUCUAAGUACCCCGAGGAAAAGAAAUCAACCGAGAUUCCCCCAGUAGCGGCGAGCGAACGGGGAGCAGCCCAGAGUCUGAAUCAGCUUGUGUGUUAGUGGAACGGUCUGGAAAGUCCGACGGUACAGGGUGAUAGUCCCGUACACCAAAAUGCACAGGCUGUGAACUCGAAGAGUAGGGCGGGACACGUGGUAUCCUGUCUGAAUAUGGGGGGACCAUCCUCCAAGGCUAAAUACUCCUGACUGACCGAUAGUGAACCAGUACCGUGAGGGAAAGGCGAAAAGAACCCCGGCGAGGGGAGUGAAAAAGAACCUGAAACCGUGUACGUACAAGCAGUGGGAGCACCUUCGGGUGUGACUGCGUACCUUUUGUAUAAUGGGUCAGCGACUUAUAUUCUGUAGCAAGGUUAACCGUAUAGGGGAGCCGCAGGGAAACCGAGUCUUAACUGGGCGUUAAGUUGCAGGGUAUAGACCCGAAACCCGGUGAUCUAGCCAUGGGCAGGUUGAAGGUUGGGUAACACUAACUGGAGGACCGAACCGACUAAUGUUGAAAAAUUAGCGGAUGACUUGUGGCUGGGGGUGAAAGGCCAAUCAAACCGGGAGAUAGCUGGUUCUCCCCGAAAGCUAUUUAGGUAGCGCCUCGUGAACUCAUCUUCGGGGGUAGAGCACUGUUUCGGCUAGGGGGUCAUCCCGACUUACCAACCCGAUGCAAACUACGAAUACCGAAGAAUGUUAUCACGGGAGACACACGGCGGGUGCUAACGUCCGUCGUGAAGAGGGAAACAACCCAGACCGCCAGCUAAGGUCCCAAAGUCAUGGUUAAGUGGGAAACGAUGUGGGAAGGCACAGACAGCCAGGAUGUUGGCUUAGAAGCAGCCAUCAUUUAAAGAAAGCGUAAUAGCUCACUGGUCGAGUCGGCCUGCGCGGAAGAUGUAACGGGGCUAAACCAUGCACCGAAGCUGCGGCAGCGACACUAUGUGUUGUUGGGUAGGGGAGCGUUCUGUAAGCCUGCGAAGGUGGCCUGUGAGGGUUGCUGGAGGUAUCAGAAGUGCGAAUGCUGACAUAAGUAACGAUAAAGCGGGUGAAAAGCCCGCUCGCCGGAAGACCAAGGGUUCCUGUCCAACGUUAAUCGGGGCAGGGUGAGUCGACCCCUAAGGCGAGGCCGAAAGGCGUAGUCGAUGGGAAACAGGUUAAUAUUCCUGUACUUGGUGUUACUGCGAAGGGGGGACGGAGAAGGCUAUGUUAGCCGGGCGACGGUUGUCCCGGUUUAAGCAUGUAGGCUGGUUAUCCAGGCAAAUCCGGAUAAUCAAGGCUGAGGUGUGAUGACGAGGCACUACGGUGCUGAAGUAACAAAUGCCCUGCUUCCAGGAAAAGCCUCUAAGCAUCAGGUAACAUCAAAUCGUACCCCAAACCGACACAGGUGGUCAGGUAGAGAAUACCAAGGCGCUUGAGAGAACUCGGGUGAAGGAACUAGGCAAAAUGGUGCCGUAACUUCGGGAGAAGGCACGCUGGUGUGUAGGUGAAGUCCCUGCGGAUGGAGCUGAGACCAGUCGAAGAUACCAGCUGGCUGCAACUGUUUAUUAAAAACACAGCACUGUGCAAACACGAAAGUGGACGUAUACGGUGUGACGCCUGCCCGGUGCCGGAAGGUUAAUUGAUGGGGUUAUCCGUAAGGAGAAGCUCUUGAUCGAAGCCCCGGUAAACGGCGGCCGUAACUAUAACGGUCCUAAGGUAGCGAAAUUCCUUGUCGGGUAAGUUCCGACCUGCACGAAUGGCGUAAUGAUGGCCAGGCUGUCUCCACCCGAGACUCAGUGAAAUUGAACUCGCUGUGAAGAUGCAGUGUACCCGCGGCAAGACGGAAAGACCCCGUGAACCUUUACUAUAGCUUGACACUGAACAUUGAGCCUUGAUGUGUAGGAUAGGUGGGAGGCUUUGAAGCGUGGACGCCAGUCUGCGUGGAGCCAACCUUGAAAUACCACCCUUUAAUGUUUGAUGUUCUAACGUUGGCCCCUUAUCGGGGUUGCGGACAGUGUCUGGUGGGUAGUUUGACUGGGGCGGUCUCCUCCCAAAGCGUAACGGAGGAGCACGAAGGUUAGCUAAUCCUGGUCGGACAUCAGGAGGUUAGUGCAAUGGCAUAAGCUAGCUUGACUGCGAGCGUGACGGCGCGAGCAGGUGCGAAAGCAGGUCAUAGUGAUCCGGUGGUUCUGAAUGGAAGGGCCAUCGCUCAACGGAUAAAAGGUACUCCGGGGAUAACAGGCUGAUACCGCCCAAGAGUUCAUAUCGACGGCGGUGUUUGGCACCUCGAUGUCGGCUCAUCACAUCCUGGGGCUGAAGUAGGUCCCAAGGGUAUGGCUGUUCGCCAUUUAAAGUGGUACGCGAGCUGGGUUUAGAACGUCGUGAGACAGUUCGGUCCCUAUCUGCCGUGGGCGCUGGAGAAUUGAGGGGGGCUGCUCCUAGUACGAGAGGACCGGAGUGGACGCAUCACUGGUGUUCGGGUUGUCAUGCCAAUGGCACUGCCCGGUAGCUAAAUGCGGAAGAGAUAAGUGCUGAAAGCAUCUAAGCACGAAACUUGCCCCGAGAUGAGUUCUCCCUGAGACUUUAAGUCUCCUGAAGGAACGUUAAAGACGAUGACGUUGAUAGGCCGGGUGUGUAAGCGCAGCGAUGCGUUGAGCUAACCGGUACUAAUGAACCGUGAGGCUUAACCUU